UUCCCUUCACCGCCAAGUUUGAAGACAUCCAAGUUCCCUUUAUUUUUUUUUCUUUUUCCUUCUUCAAUUUGCAGAUAACUUCUAAGAGAGAGUUUGGAAGAAGAAGAGAAAUUUUACUAGAAUUUUUAGGUUGAAGAAGAGGAGGAGAACUCAAGCAAAGUGUAUCAAUGGUUGAAUUUUAGUUCAUUCUGCACAUCACUGGUUUUUAAUUCGGUUUGAACUCUUCAAAAGGAAUUAAGAGGGCAGUUGGUUUUCACUCGAAAUCAGGAGGUCUCUGGUUUUUCUUGUAUUUCAGAGUGUAUCGGUGGAGUUAGAAUUUCUAUUUGGUAUGGUUGGAAAGCUUAUUCAAUUUACUACAACUUUCAUGAAGAAAUUGUAAACCAAAAACGACUAAAAAUUGGUUAAAUUGUAGGAACAAGUUAAAGAGGUCGUGUGCGCGCGAUUCUGGAAGUGGUUCUGUUUUGAGGGUUAUAUGUGUUUAUGCACGGAGAAUCAGAUUUAUAUGUCUUCAGGUAAGUUUUAGAGGAUCUCAAAAUGAAGAGUUUGAUAUAAAGAACACUCAUUUUAGCCGAGAAGAAUUAAACCGAGCUUAUAGACCAAGGAUCUAGCCCAAGACUGUGAGUGACAAAACCAACUUUGAAAUAUUUUCCAUAACUGUUAUUAUGAUUGAAUGCGAUAAAUGUUUAUUUACGAAGCCAUGAAAGGUAUUUGAAUUUCAUGACUAUUUUCAAGUAUACAUUUGGAGACUAGAUUUCUUAAAGAAAUUUAUGAUAGCACGUAGAUAUUAAAUGUUUGGAAAGUAUUUAAACCACAAUAUUUUAAGCAAAACAUGAAUUAGUAUGAAGUUUUGUUUUAAGAACUACAAUUUUCCACGAAAGAGCUGAGUAAAGUUCGAGCUUUGUGUAAAAUUUAUAAGCAGGCAUGUUUUAAUAUUUUAUGAUGAUUUAUGAAAUUUUUAUUAACUACAUGAUUGAGAUCUUGAGCCUGAGGCUAGAGAUUACCGUGUGCACACUGGUUAGAUUUCGUUGUUGACGUUGAGUGUACUCCGUAACAACGAUGCUGUCGUGAGUGCUGGGCGGGCCCCACUACGACAAAGACGAUGGGAGUGCUGGGCGGGCCCCACUACAUCGUAGUGCUUGUAAACGUUGUUGUACUAGGUGUACCCUACACAACGUAGAUUCGUCAUGUUAGUUAAAAUGCUUCGAUAUACUUGAUAUGCCUUGCUAGAUUUCAAUGAUGAACAUGCUGAGUAUUUAAGGAAGCUAUUCUUACUAUUACACAUUUACAUUUACGACUUGUAUAAACAGAUUUAUUUGUGUAAAGUUUUCACGUGCUCUUAUCUUUAAAUUCAUAGUUUUAAACUGAGUCACUCACUGAGCUUCAUAGCUCACCCUUUCCAAAAUGUUUUACCCAUUUUCCAGGUAGAGAUCGACUUCCCGGUGCCUGAUAGACUGCCUUAGUCUGCGGAAGCUUCAUUAUCGAUUGCCAGUACGUGUUUUGAGUUGGGCAUAAAGUCUGUUGUGUUGUGAUGUAUUCACACCCUUGUAUGUUAUAGAUACUCCACAGUUUGUAUAAGCUUUAGGAGCUGUAGUUGUGUAAAUUUUGUUGCUUAUAUUUUGAUUAAGGGGUCUUUAGGUUUACUCGUGAAAUCGGUAAAUUUUGAGGUACACUUCAUGUAUGUGUUUGACUAGCUGUGUUUGACUAGCCUAGGAUCCGUUGUGUUUUGUGGCAUGUACAAUAGUUUAUAUACUAGAUUGGCAAGUUCAUCACAUGAAAGUUUUAAGCAGAGUCGACAGAUACAGGUACAGAAAAACGUUGUUCGUCGGCUUCACGCCAUCUUUCGGUCUAAGGUAGCAGGUAGUCCGGGAGGGGGUGUGACACUAGCUCAUACCGUAGAAGGGUCAUCCAACACAUCACAGUUGUGGGGUCGAAGACGAGGAGUGUGAAAGACUUGAAACAGGGAAAGAAAGCCCUAUGAGUUGGUUUGCUUGCAACUCAAGGAGGAGGAUAAGAUUGGAAUUCUUAUGUUCCUAAACACCUCCCAAUAGAAAGCAGCAAUAGGCAAUGGAUGAAGGAAGGAAGGUGUGUUGCGCCUUGGUGGGAAGAAAAAGGACCUAAGAAUUUCAAGAGUUGGUUUACUUUUACGUAAAGGAAAGUUGUAAUUUGUAAAUUUGUACUUUUGUAAGCAUUAAGCUAAUAAAGAGAAGUUUUAAGUUA